UGAACUCUCCGUUGACUCUGGAACUAGUGACACAGAUGAUGACAAACAUAAAUCGACGGUGGGCAAUAAAUCAAACACAAACCAGAAUCAGUUACGAUUGUCUGGAUGCAGCACCAAAGUCAGGUCCAUCGCGAGAAACUCUUACUCUAAAAGAGAAAUUGAAACGGAAAAUGCAAGCUCAAUUAUCAAAGCAAUUGCGUGCUGACAAGCGCGCUGAGGCUGAGCG